UACGGAGGGUGCGAGCGUUGUCCGGAAUCAUUGGGCGUAAAGGGCGCGUAGGUGGCGAGCCAAGUCCAUGGUGAAAGCUCGAUGCUCAACAUCGAGUCGGCCACGGAUACUGGUGCGCUGGAGCACUGUAGAGGCAGAUGGAAUUCCGGGUGUAGCGGUGGAAUGCGUAGAGAUCCGGAAGAACACCGGUGGCGAAGGCGGUCUGCUGGGCAGUUGCUGACACUGAGGCGCGACAGCGUGGGGAGCAAACAGG
rnacentral:rRNA from 1 species